rnacentral:rRNA from 1 species
AGCUCCAACAGCGUAUAUUAAAGUUGUUGCAGUUAAAACGCUCGUAGUCGGAUUUCGGGGCGGUUAGUCCGGUCUGCCGAUGGGUAUGCACUGGUUUGGCCGUCCUUCCUUCCGGAGACCGUGCGUGCUCUUAACUGAGUGCGCUCGGGAGACGGAUCGUUUACUUUGAAAAAUCAGAGUGUUUCAAGCAGGCAGCUCGCUCUUGCAUGGAUUAGCAUGGGAUAAUGAAAUAGGACUUUGGUGCUAUUUUGUUGGUUUCGAACACCGAAGUAAUGAUUGAUAGGGACAGUUGGGGCGGUCCGUAUUCCAAAGCGAGAGGUGAAAUUCUUAGACCUUCGGAAGACGAACAGCUGCGAAAGCGUUCCGCAAGGAUGUUCCCU